rnacentral:rRNA from 1 species
CCUGAACGCUGGCGGCGUGGCUAAGACAUGCAAGUCGCACGGAGGUAGCAAUACCUUAGUGGCGAACGGGUGAGUAAUGAAUCGCUAAUGUGCCCCGGACUCUGGGAUAGCUGCCCGAAAGGGCAGGUAAUACCAGAUGAUAUAACCGAACCGCAUGGUUUGGCUCUCAAAGGUCCGCCGGUCUGGGAGCAGGCGAUUUCGUAUCAGCUAGUUGGUGAGGUAACGGCUCACCAAGGCGACGACGCGUAGCCGGACUGAGAGGUUGGCCGGCCACAUUGGGACUGAGACACUGCCCAGACUCCUACGGGGGGCUGCAGUAACGAAUCUUCCGCAAUGCACGAAAGUGUGACGGAGCGACGCCGCGUGUAGGACGAAGCCCUUC